rnacentral:rRNA from 1 species
UACGGAGGGAGCAAGCGUUAUUCGGAAUCACUGGGCGUAAAGGGUGUGUAGGCUGUGCGUUAAGUCAGAUGUGAAAGCCCAGGGCUCAACCUUGGAACUGCAUCCGAUACUGGCGUGCUAGAGAAUUGGAGAGGAGACUAGAAUUCACGGUGUAGCAGUGAAAUGCGUAGAUAUCGUGAGGAAUACCAAGUGCGAAGGCAGGACUCUGGACAUUUUCUGACGCUGAGACACGAAGGCUAGGGGAGCAAACGGG